GAUGAACGCUAGCGGGAGGCCUAACACAUGCAAGCCGAGCGGUAGAGUUUCUUCGGAAACUUGAGAGCGGCGUACGGGUGCGGAACACGUGUGCAACCUGCCUUUAUCUGGAGGAUAGCCUUUCGAAAGGAAGAUUAAUACUCCAUAAUAUAUGAAUCGGCAUCGAUUUAUAUUGAAAGCUCCGGCGGAUAGAGAUGGGCACGCGCAAGAUUAGAUAGUUGGUGAGGUAACGGCUCACCAAGUCAAUGAUCUUUAGGGGGCCUGAGAGGGUGAUCCCCCACACUGGUACUGAGACACGGACCAGACUCCUACGGGAGGCAGCAGUGAGGAAUAUUGGACAAUGGGUGCAAGCCUGAUCCAGCCAUCCCGCGUGAAGGAUUAAGGUCCUAUGGAUUGUAAACUUCUUUUGUAUAGGGAUAAACCUACCCUCGUGAGGGUAGCUGAAGGUACUAUACGAAUAAGCACCGGCUAACUCCGUG
rnacentral:rRNA from 1 species